rnacentral:tRNA from 2 species
GUGCCUUUAGCUCAGUCGGAUAGAGCAACUGCCUUCUAAGCAGUAGGUCGGGGGUUCGAAUCCCUCAAGGCACGCCA